CAGUCGCCACGGUAAUACGAGGGGAGCUAGCGUUGUUCGGAAUUACUGGGCGUAAAGCGCGCGUAGGCGGCUUUUUAAGUCAGAGGUGAAAGCCCGGGGCUCAACCCCGGAAUUGCCUUUGAAACUGGAAAGCUAGAAUCUUGGAGAGGUCAGUGGAAUUCCGAGUGUAGAGGUGAAAUUCGUAGAUAUUCGGAAGAACACCAGUGGCGAAGGCGACUGACUGGACAAGUAUUGACGCUGAGGUGCGAAAGCGUGGGGAGCAAACAGGAUUAGAUACCCCGGUAGUCCCUGUCUCUUAUAC
rnacentral:rRNA from 1 species